rnacentral:rRNA from 1 species
UACGUAGGGUGCAAGCGUUAAUCGGAAUUACUGGGCGUAAAGCGUGCGCAGGCGGUUUUGUAAGUCUGUCGUGAAAUCCCCGGGCUCAACCUGGGAAUGGCGAUGGAGACUGCAAGGCUAGAGUUGGCAGAGGGGGGUAGAAUUCCACGUGUAGCAGUGAAAUGCGUAGAUAUGUGGAGGAACACCGAUGGCGAAGGCAGCCCCCUGGGUCAAAACUGACGCUCAUGCACGAAAGCGUGGGGAGCAAACAGG